GCCUUUUAGUUUCGUUCAGUUACGUAUAUGUGGUGAAUUUAAAAAAAAGUGCCAGAAAUAACGGUUUUUGUAAUUACGUACUUAUCGCUUAUAGAACAAGUCAAAGUGCAUCCUUUUCAUAUAUUUAUUCACGUAGAGAUACGUAUAGAAUCAAAUAAACCGAUACAUCUAAUUUGAAGAAAGUAUUUCCGGUGAAAUGUUGUUGCUUCCGUUGUUCGUCGCAGUGAUUGCCACGCAAGUUACCGGCAACAUCCUGGAAGAGCUUGCUAAAGGCACGAAACGCUCGGCCGUGUGGGCGUCCAAGCCCCAGGACAUCCCGACGAAGACCUCCAACUUUGCCAAGGACAUCCUCUUGUUCCCGGAUAAGUCCAAAGAUCCACAACGUAAAUUCACACGCACCGAGGUGGCCGCGUGCGAC